AUGGUACAUCCCAAAGUUAUAAGACGCCUUUUUUCAAUUUGCUCCCUAUUAGAAAGAAAUGCUGUAAGCGAUGUUUCUCCAGAAACUGGUGUUGUGCUAGCAAGCAGAAAUUUACAGAUGGUUAGAAGAUACACAUCAGCACCUGUAUUUCUCAAGCUCACAAAAAAGGGAAAAAAAAAAGAAAACCAAACCAAAACCACAAAUCCCCCAUCAGUUGCUGAAAGCUUCCAGAUUCCUGAUGAUCUCUGCACCUCCUAAAUGGAGAUAAAUCUCAAGAGAACUCAAAGCCAAAAAUAAGGAGGAAGAAUUGGUAAAGAAAAGAAACAGCUUUCUCUUUCUAGGUAGGAAGAUAUAAUAAAUACACCAGAAACUAAACUCUUCACAAUUUGUGCAAUUUUCUCCAUGAUGUUGCACCCUACACAUGACUUCUGAUGGACAGAAACAGUGUUUAGAUGCUUUACCUAAACAGUAAAUACCUCCUGUUUAGGGAGGGGAUCUUACAUGAUACUCCUUCAGACAUCAACCUAGUAAGUUACUUCUUGGCAAAUUCUGGUGUACUGUCCUUACAUCAGUUCCCAGUUGUUUCCAGACAAGUAGUACAUCAAUCUUCUCUUUCUCUUGAAUACCAGUGGCUUCCAUAAAAUGAGUUCAUAUUUUGAAAACAUUUCUCUGGCACAUUUCCCUGGAACAUUUCCAGGAAUAUUGAGCGUCUAAUGACCAACUGAACAUGAAUAAAACUUAAAUUUCUCUCUUAAAAAUCACAAGUAAUGCUGAAAACAUAUGUCAGAUGUUACAAUGCUUUUGUUGCUGGCAGAAUUUAAAAUUUAAAAUAUGGUAAGGGG
rnacentral:lncRNA from 1 species